rnacentral:rRNA from 1 species
GACGAACGCUGGCGGCGUGCUUAACACAUGCAAGUCGAACGGAAAGGCCCUGCUUUUGUGGGGUGCUCGAGUGGCGAACGGGUGAGUAACACGUGAGUAACCUGCCCUUGACUUUGGGAUAACUUCAGGAAACUGGGGCUAAUACCGGAUAUGAGCUCCUGCUGCAUGGUGGGGGUUGGAAAAUUUCGGCGGUUGGGGAUGGACUCGCGGCUUAUCAGCUUGUUGGUGGGGUGGUGGCUUACCAAGGCUUUGACGGGUAGCCGGCCUGAGAGGGUGACCGGCCACAUUGGGACUGAGAUACGGCCCAGACUCCUACGGGAGGCAGCAGUGGGGAAUAUUGCACAAUGGGCGGAAGCCUGAUGCAGCAACGCCGCGUGCGGGAUGACGGCCUUCGGGUUGUAAACCGCUUUCGCCUGUGACGAAGCGUGAGUGACGGUAAUGGGUAAAGAAGCACCGGCUAACUACGUG